GAUGAACGCUGGCGGCGUGCCUAACACAUGCAAGUCGAACGGACAUUGAAUGAAACCUAGUGAUUUUAAUGUUAGUGGCGGACGGGUGAGUAACGCGUGGGAAACCUGCCCUGUACCGGGGGAUAACACUUAGAAAUAGGUGCUAAUACCGCAUAAGCGCACGGUUCUGCAUGGAACAGUGUGAAAAACUCCGGUGGUACAGGAUGGUCCCGCGUCUGAUUAGCUAGUUGGUAAGGUAACGGCUUACCAAGGCGACGAUCAGUAGCCGGCCUGAGAGGGUGAACGGCCACAUUGGGACUGAGACACGGCCCAA
rnacentral:rRNA from 1 species